rnacentral:rRNA from 1 species
GGAGAGUUUGAUCCUGGCUCAGGACGAACGCUGGCGGUGCGCCUAAUGCAUGCAAGUCGAACGGGCGGAGGGGCUUCGGCCCCCGAGCUAGUGGCAGACGGCUGAGUAACACGUAAGUGAUCUGCCCCGGAGAGGGGGAUAACCCGGAGAAGUCCGGCCUAAUACCCCGUACGCUCUCUUUUCUGCGGUUUAGAGAGGAAAGUUCCGGCGCUCUGGGAGGAGCUUGCGGCCUAUCAUGGUAGUUGGUGGGGUAAAAGCCUACCAAGCCGAAGACGGGUAACCGGUGUGAGAGCACGAUCGGUCAGAGGGGGACUGAGACACGGCCCCCACUCCUACGGGAGGCAGCAGCAGGGAAUCUUGCGCAGUGGGCGAAAGCCUGACGCAGCGACACCGCGUGGGGGAUGAAGGCUUUCGAGUUGUAAACCCCUUUUCCCGGGGAUGAGAAAGGACAGUACCCGGGGAAUAAGGUUCGGCUAACUACGUGCCAGCAGCCGCGGUAAUACGUAGGAACCGAGCGUUGUCCGGAUUUACUGGGCGUAAAGUGCGCGUAGGCGGUCCGUUAAGUCUCAUGUGAAAUCUCCCGGCUCAACUGGGAGGGGUCAUGGGAUACUGGCAGACUUGAGUGCAGCAGAGGGGAGUGGAAUUCCCGGAGUAGUGGUGGAAUGCGUAGAUACCGGGAGGAACACCAGAGGCGAAGGCGACUCCCUGGGCUGUGUCUGACGCUGAGGCGCGAGAGCGUGGGUAGCAAACAGGAUUAGAUACCCUGG